UACGGAGGGUGCAAGCGUUAUCCGGAUUUACUGGGUUUAAAGGGUGUGUAGGCGGGCUUUUAAGUCAGUGGUGAAAUCUCCGGGCUCAACCUGGAAACUGCCAUUGAUACUAUUAGUCUUGAAUUUUGUUGAGGUAGGCGGAAUAAGUCAUGUAGCGGUGAAAUGCAUAGAUAUGUCACAGAACACCAAUUGCGAAGGCAGCUUACUAUGGUAUGAUUGACGCUGAGGCACGAAAGCGUGGGGAUCAAACAGG
rnacentral:rRNA from 1 species